rnacentral:rRNA from 1 species
CCUACGGGAGGCAGCAGUGAGGAAUAUUGGUCAAUGGGCGAGAGCCUGAACCAGCCAAGUAGCGUGAAGGAUGACUGCCCUACGGGUUGUAAACUUCUUUUAUAAAGGAAUAAAGUGACGCACGUGUACCUUUUUGUAUGUACUUUAUGAAUAAGGAUCGGCUAACUCCGUGCCAGCAGCCGCGGUAAUACGGAGGAUCCGAGCGUUAUCCGGAUGUAUUGUGUUGAAAGGAAGCGUAGAUGGGUUGUUAAGUCAGUUGUGAAAGUUUGCGGCUCAACCCUAAAAUUGCAAUUGAUACUGGCAGCCUUGAGUACAGUUGAGGUAGGCGGAAUUCGUGGUGUAGCGGUGAAAUGCUUAGAU